rnacentral:sRNA from 1 species
AUAUACACAACAGUGCUGAAUUCCAAUGUGGAUAUUGUUGUGAUAUUCUGAUAGCUGUUUUUGUGAUUGUUUAUGUGUGAAAUUAGAAUGCCCACGAGACUGUCAAAAAAAGGACAUUUGGAAUGCCUAGGACAAAUGCCUUGAUCAAUCGUAAUACAGGAAGUGGUUGUGCAGGACUUGUAAACAAUAUGGUUUGAGCUUUGCUUACGGUAAACAGUGAACUUUUGUCCAUAUCCGUCUGUGCGUGUUGUGUCAAUCAAACUGCAAUACAUGUUAUUCUGCAGCACCAAAUUGUCACUGAUUGGCAGAGUACUUUUAGUCAAGUUUCAUCAUGAUUUGUUCAUCAUAUUUGUGUUUAUUGUAUUUAUAAAAUGUGUUAAAUUUAAAGAUUAUUAAUUUUAACUGGUGUCCUUUAUAAGCAUGUUGAAAUUCCAGUUUCAGGUCUCUAAUAUUAAACAUUAUAUUUUUAAUUCAAUACUUAUUUUGUGCAUGUUACAUUGAAUAAAAUAAUUUUUUUACUUCUUAAAUAUUGUGUAAUCACAAACUUUUUUUUAUUUUUUAUUUUUGAAAAGUCCAAAUUUAAUGUAAUGCAAAAUGUUAAUCUUGUUGUAACCUUUUUGCAUCUUUAAAAAAAUAAAACUGUAAUGGCAAU